rnacentral:pre_miRNA from 12 species
AUUCUUGGUGCUACACUUUGGUACUAGAAAAGAGGUUAUCCGUGUUUCUUCGCUUUAUUUAUGACGAAAAAUACGGGUGCACUUCUGUUUGAGUAUCAUAUCCCGUCACUGACGCCCA